rnacentral:rRNA from 1 species
UGGGGAAUAUUGGGCAAUGGGCGAAAGCCUGACCCAGCAAUGCCGCGUGAAGGAAGAAGGCCUUCGGGUUGUAAACUUCUUUUAUCAGGGACGAAGAAAGUGACGGUACCUGAAGAAUAAGCCACGGCUAACUACGUGCCAGCAGCCGCGGUAAUACGUAGGUGGCGAGCGUUGUCCGGAUUUACUGGGUGUAAAGGGCGCGUAGGCGGGAGAGCAAGUCAGAUGUGAAAUCCAUGGGCUUAACCCAUGAACUGCAUUUGAAACUGCCCUUCUUGAGUGUCGGAGAGGUAGACGGAAUUCCAAGUGUAGCGGUGAAAUGCGUAGAUAUUUGGAGGAACACCAGUGGCGAAGGCGGUCUACUGGACGAUAACUGACGCUGAGGCGCGAAAGCGUGGGGAGCAAACAGG